CAACCACGCUGCAUCCCUGGGCAAGGAGAACCAGAGAUUCAGUGCUCCUUGGCAGUGUGUCUUCGGGAGUUCUCCCAGCCUUAGAAAGCCCAUCUUCCUGGCCCCACCCAUAGGCAGCUACAUCUAUGAGGCUCAGGACCUUUAGACAGGCAGAGGACCCAGGCUCCUGCUCCCAGACCAAGCCAUGGAUCCCAGUAUGAGGCAGACUGUCUCUAGUCAGUGGGGACCGCCACAAAGCUCAUCCACCACCCAGAGGGCCUGUCCCAUUCCACAUAGUUGCUCAGACUACUGAUGUGGUAGCAGACUAUUUUUAACCCGUUUUUUGGUGGGGUGGGUGGGGAAACAGCUGGGAAGAGAGAGACAAGCUCUGAGAGUCAGAGAGGUCUAAAGGAUGUAGGGAGACCCUGUGGGAGAAGCCAGUCCAGGCCUGCAGUCACUUCCCAACUCCCCUGGGCUGGAGCCCUCACCCCCAUCAGGUGGGUGGAGGCCCAGAUGCCAGGAGCAGAAAGGGGAGGAGGCCCCAUUAGAACUGGAGCCUCUGAGGCUGCAGGAGCUUCCAAGACCUAAAAUAACCCCUUGGCUGUGUUCAGGGAAGCCCCAUAGCUGCUCCUGAUUUCCUCCAGAAAAUCCUACUCCCCUCAGAAUCAUCCCCCCCACUCCCCACCCCAGAGUGCCAAGCCAGCUAUUAAGGCUGGAGAAUACAAGUCCUGACUCCAGCUCCCUGGCCUGUGGCAUGGCCAGCCAGACCCUGGUUGCCCUGGGGUGUCAGGGACAGGAUGGCAACUUCUCUUGGCUGACUUUUGGGUCCUGGCCCACUCCCAUACAACUGACCUCAAUCCUUGGGUCUGUUGCCCUAAAAGAGAUCCCAGGGGACCUCAUCCUUGCCGUGGGGCUGUGCAUUCCCCCAACCCCCCUUGAACACGGAGAGGGGAAGCCAGGUCCCAACACGCCUCCAAAGUGAAAAAGUGAAAGUCGCUCAGUCGUGUCUCUGUGACCCCAUGGACGAUACAGUCCAUGGAACUCUCCAGGCCAGAAUAUUGGAGUAGGUAGCUGUUCCCUUCUCCAGGGGAUCUUCUCAACCCAGGGAUCGAAUCCAGGUCUCCUGCAUUGCAGGCGGAUUCUUUACCAGCUGAGCCACAAGGGAAGCCUGCACGCCCCCAAGGAGAGCCUCAAGUCAGCUGAGGUCUGUGUGCAGCAGUGUGACAGCAAGAGACGCAGCCUCACAGGCUCAGCAGGCCCAGGAAGGUGGCAGGGCUUCCUGCAGGCACUUCCUCUAUCUCUUGCUUCCCUGUGCCUGGUGGCUCCCCAAGUGAUAGUGGCAGCUGGGGAUCCUAAAGCUCUGCAGAGUGGCCUGGACCUGGUGUUACAAGCAUCCGGGGCUUCACGGAGAAAGGUGGGUAGUGGGUAAUGAGGAAAAGUCCAGCAGGUGGCAAAGGGGAGGGCAGAGGGCACAGCCUAAGCUAAGUCCUGGCAAAGAAGCAGCUGUCACCUCCCAGAAAUGGGGUAGCUGAAGUUCUGGCAGGGUUAGCCAGGGCUGAGCCAGGGAGGGGUGUGUGAAUCCCUGGUUAAGAGCCUGGGAUGUCCCCAAGCUGGAGGAGCUAGGGAAGUAGGGUAACUGCAGAGAGGAGGCACUGGAAGGAGAUCUGGCAGAAAGACCAUGGGGACCACCCCCAGGUGAAGGGGUCAGGCUUCAAGCUGCAGGGGAAGGAGGUGGGGCCUUGUUCUGUCUUAAAGGAGACAGAGGCCUCUCUGACUUGGGGCUCUCUGGAGGGCGGAGCGAGUGGGCUUCUCGGCACUGCUGGGAGUGGGUUGGAGACUCCUGGAGGAAGACUAAGGAAUCCUAG
ensembl:lncRNA